GAUGAAGAACGUAGCGAAAUGCGAUAAGUAGUGUGAAUUGCAGAAUUCAGUGAAUCAUCGAAUCUUUGAACGCACAUUGCGCCCCUCGGUAUUCCGUGGGGCAUGCCUGUUCGAGCGUCAUUUAACCCCUCAAGCCUAGCUUGGUAUUGGGUGCUUGUCCCGCCUCUCGCGCGGCGACUCACCUCAAAGUCAUUGGCAGCCCGCAUCUCGCCGGCCGUGAGCGCAGCACAGACGCGCUCUUGGCAACGACGGAUCGGCUCUCCAAAAGCUUAUUUCAACCACUGACCUCGGAUCAGGUAGGGAUACCCGCUGAACUUAAGCAUAUCAAAAGCGGAGGA
rnacentral:misc_RNA from 1 species